AGUGAACGCUGGCGGUAGGCCUAACACAUGCAAGUCGAACGGCAGCACAGUAAGAGCUUGCUCUUACGGGUGGCGAGUGGCGGACGGGUGAGGAAUACAUCGGAAUCUACUUUUUCGUGGGGGAUAACGUAGGGAAACUUACGCUAAUACCGCAUACGACCUACGGGUGAAAGCAGGGGAUCUUCGGACCUUGCGCGAUUGAAUGAGCCGAUGUCGGAUUAGCUAGUUGGCGGGGUAAAGGCCCACCAAGGCGACGAUCCGUAGCUGGUCUGCGAGGAUGAUCGGCCACACUGGAACUGGAACACGGUCCAGGCUCCUACGGGAGGCAGCAGUGGGGAAUAUUGGACAAUGGGCGCAAGCCUGAUCCAGCCAUACCGCGUGGGUGAAGAAGGCCUUCGGGUUGUAAAGCCCUUUUGUUGGGAAAGAAAAGCAGCAGGUUAAUACCCCGCUGUUCUGACGGUACCCAAAGAAUAAGCACCGGCUAACUUCGUG
rnacentral:rRNA from 1 species